rnacentral:lncRNA from 1 species
AAGGCAGGGACCGUCCCUCUUGGACGUACGUCCCGCUUUUUUUUUUCUCUUUUCAAUUUUUUUUUUAGUUUUUUUGGGUAGGGGACAUGGCAAGGGCAUUGGGGACAUGGCAAGGACUACCAAUGCCCUUGCCCUUACUAUAUAUAGAAAAAAACAAGUAUAUUUGUAACAAGAAAACAUGAAUCAAUGAUGAAUAAGGAACUUAUUUUU